UAAACUGAUUUUUAAAACUCUCGAUUCAACUAACACGUAUCACGCACGCGAAUAUAAUCCUUUUUUUUAAAAUCGUAUAAUUUUUACGUACCUAUUUCAUUCAAUUUUACGCGAUGCUGCGUCAAAAUAUUACAUUAUUCUUGCUUUUAGUACUAGGUUUUGUUCACCAUGUGACCAACAAAUCCGAAAAAGUUAAACGACUUGAAAAAGAGCGAUGUGCCAGAGAACAAAAACUUCUAAAAAUGGCAAUUCGUUUAGUCCAUGGGUAUGAUGUCGACGCUUUUGAAAGAAAAUUGAACGAAAAAUUCCAACGUGAAAUUAAAAGAAUAGAAGAAGAGAAAAAUGCACAAAUCCAACAGAUAGAAGAAAAAUUCAAACAAAAAGAUGAAAAACGCCAGCAACAGUACGACCAAAAAAUGAAAGAAGUUUAUGCUGACUUAGGUUACGAUGACCUGUCAGACAAUGACUGAGCAAAGCGCGAACUGUUGGACGAGGCAAACCAUGCGAGAAAACGUACAUCAAGUCGCAUUUGCACAAAAAUGAUGAAUCGCGAAUUUCGAAAAUUUCCACGCAAACGGGAAACUUUUGAUUUUUUGGAUUUUUUAAUUAUGAAAAAAUCUGGUCAAAAAACCACUCUUGAGGUGUCACUCCCAAAAUUGGCUCAAAUGUGGAUUAAACUCGUUUAACAGGUCUAGUGUAAUACAAAACUCGAUUUUUAGCUGCCCAACUUCAUUAUUCACACCUUCUGGAGCAAAUUGAAAAUUCUGGAGAAAUUGAAAAUCGCGCUGGAGGCUCCAGAAUAGCUGGAAAUGUUGAAAUUUGGGUUCGGGUAGUUAAUAAUAGUUUUGGGACUUAUUUUGACCAUUUUUACUGAUCAAGCACGUACUUUUUUUUUUAAAAAAAGCAUAAAUCGCCAAAAACAGUCAAUUUUGAAUUUUCUAAACGUUCGCUAAAAAUCGAAAAAUGAACUUGCGCAGCUGAAAAUUUGGUUUUGGAGGUUUUAGACUAUGCUCUUUCCAAAAAUCGCGUUCCCGUUCAAAUCGGAGUGUGACACCUCAAGAGUUCCCUCGUAAGAUAGUAAUGGUUUCCAUUAGGUAACCUUUCAUUAUACAGGAAAGGAAUAUCACUGCAUGAUUUAUCUUUAGGUAUUAAGAAAUUGACUAGAUCGGUGCUCCUCUGAUUUGUAUCUGAACAAAUAAAGAAAUCUAGAACUUCUCAGGGGGAAAAUGAUCGCAUCUGAUUAGAUCUGAUCAGACCACUUUAGACUAUUGUGAAUUGUGCUUAGAUUGUAUCUGAAAAUUAACAGUUAGAAUAACAUCUGAUCUAUACUCGAGAAGUAGUGUUCGUCGGAUUUAAUGUUUCCUCGGACCGAGCUUACACCCAUCUGGUUCUACCUGUAUGCUUGCAUAUUUGUUGAGGAAAAUAAAUGAUAAAUUUUAUUACUCAAUUCAAAUUGAGAACCUGCGCGAAUCCUACAGGCUGAAGCAA